UAUACAGAUUAAACAAGAUAUGGACAUCUGAACCCAUUAGAAAAACUAGGUCACCCUGGAAGUAAACUCCAGUGACAGUGACCAAUCCAACGUGAAGUUCUGUGUCUGCACUUCUUCUGAACAAGACUGCCUUAAAGCAAAACUCCUCCAUUUACAGCCCCCUCAAAAGUACAAAUGUCUGAUCCUCCGCUUAAUCAGCUCCGAACUAUUUUUAAAAGUAAAAUACAUUUUUAGUCAGCACAGUAAGUCAAGCAUAGUAAGCUAUCAUCAUACAACAGCAUAAAGGAAACUCUCUCUACAGGACAGUAAACAGUCAAUACAUAAUAAACUAGUUUGAAAAUACAUGAAGUACAUUUGUCUCAACAAAGGUAUGGCCCCUUGAGUGCUUUUUCCUAAGAAGCCAAGAACUGGAAAACAAUCGCAUGCUGAAGCGAAGGAUGAAACCCACAGCGCUGGUCUCGACUAUUCAGAGUCUACAACAGAUGUGGCGUCAGGAAGGACAGGCCGGGCUGUUCCCAUCACCGGCUGGCCGUUACUUAACACACUGGGUUCAUGUCAGCUGGUAAAGGGCACCUCCACCCACCUCCUUACCCCACUAUGAAUAUAAACAGAGGCGUUUGCCCUGAGUAUACAACUGGGCUGAAGAGUUUCGUUACAUAUUAACUACACUUCAAAGAAUAAAUCAGACUUGUUAUUUCACUUUAAUAUGCAUAUAUACCUUGGGAAAAGUGAAACUCAAAAGGAUUUCUUCUUCAUUCCUUAGAGAUUGCUAUUAUGGAAAAAAUAAACUCAACCACAUAGAAUACUAAGAUGAGAGCUGACUAUGAAACUGACCGCUGAACCUUCCUAUGUCAAAGAGAACUUUCCACUGUGGGAAAUUUCUAAAACAUUCAUAUUAAGCUAAGUGGAAAUGUCAUCAUAGUUCAG